rnacentral:rRNA from 1 species
UACGUAGGUGGCAAGCGUUAUCCGGAAUUAUUGGGCGUAAAGAGCGCGCAGGUGGUUAAUUAAGUCUGAUGUGAAAGCCCGCGGCUUAACCGUGGAGGGUCAUUGGAAACUGGUUGACUUGAGUGCAGAAGAGGGAAGUGGAAUUCCAUGUGUAGCGGUGAAAUGCGUAGAGAUAUGGAGGAACACCGGUGGCGAAAGCGGCUCUCUGGCCUGUAACUGACACUGAGGCUCGAAAGCGUGGGGAGCAAACAGG